GAUGAACGCUGGCGGCGUGCUUAACACAUGCAAGUCGAACGGAAAGGCCCUGCUUGCAGGGUGCUCGAGUGGCGAACGGGUGAGUAACACGUGGGUGAUCUGCCCCUUACUUUGGGAUAAGCCUGGGAAACUGGGUCUAAUACUGGGUAGGACCAUGCUGUAGGUGGUGUGGUGGAAAGAUUAGUUUCGGUAAGGGAUGAGCUCGCGGCCUAUCAGCUUGUUGGUGGGGUAAUGGCCUACCAAGGCGUCGACGGGUAGCCGGCCUGAGAGGGUGGACGGCCACAUUGGGACUGAGAUACGGCCCAGACUCCUACGGGAGGCAGCAGUGGGGAAUAUUGCACAAUGGGCGCAAGCCUGAUGCAGCGACGCCGCGUGGGGGAUGACGGCCUUCGGGUUGUAAACUCCUUUCAGCCAUGACGAAGCCCUUGUGGUGACGGUAGUGGUAGAAGAAGCACCGGCUAACUACGUG
rnacentral:rRNA from 1 species